rnacentral:rRNA from 1 species
CGCCUGCCCUGUGACAAAUGUUCAACGGCCGCGGUAUUUUGACCGUGCAAAGGUAGCGCAAUCACUUGUCUUUUAAAUGAAGACCUGUAUGAAUGGCACGACGAGGGCUUAACUGUCUCCUUUUUCCAGUCAAUGAAAUUGAUCUUCCCGUGCAGAAGCGGGAAUAUAAUCAUAAGACGAGAAGACCCUAUGGAGCUUUAGACACAAGACAGAUCUUGUUAAACACUUCAAAAUAAAGAAACAAACUAAAAGAACCCUGCCCUUUUGUCUUUGGUUGGGGCGACCACGGGAAGACAAAUAACCCCCACGCGGACUGGGAAAACAGUUCUCACAGCCAAGAGCUACAGCUCUAAUUAACAGAAGUUCUGACCUCAAGAUCCGGCUAAUGCCGAUCAACGGACCGAGUUACCCUAGGGAUAACAGCGCAAUCCCCUUUUAGAGUCCAUAUCGACAAGGGGGUUUACGACCUCGAUGUUGGAUCAGGACAUCCUAAUGGUGCAGCAGCUAUUAAGGGUUCGUUUGUUCAACGAUUAAAGUCCU